rnacentral:rRNA from 1 species
GAGAAUCAUUCGCAAUGGGCGAAAGCCUGACGGUGCGACGCCGCGUGGAGGAUGAAGGUCCUAGGAUUGUAAACUCCUGUCAUCAGGGAGUAAAGCUCUAGUGUUAAUAGCACUAUGAGCCUGAUAGUACCUGAAGAGGAAGGGGCGGCUAACUCCGUGCCAGCAGCCGCGGUAACACGGAGGCCUCAAGCGUUGUUCGGAAUUACUGGGCGUAAAGGGUGCGUAGGCGGCGAGGUAAGUCAGAUGUGAAAGCCCGGGGCUCAACCCCGGAAUUGCAUCCGAUACUGCCUUGCUUGAGGGUUGGAGAGGAGACUGGAAUUCACGGUGUAGCAGUGAAAUGCGUGGAUAUCGUGAGGAAGGCCAAUGGCGAAGGCAGGUCUCUGGACAACUCCUGACGCUGAUGCACGAAGGCCAGGGGAGCAAAAA